UAAUACGUAGGAGGCGAGCGUUAUCCGGAUUUACUGGGCGUAAAGCGGGCGCAGGCGGUUUUUUAAGUCGAAUGUAAAAUCUCCCGGCUUAACUGGGAGUGACCAUUCGAUACUGUUGGGCUAGAGGGCAGCAGAAGGAGGUGGAAUCCCCGGUGUAGUGGUGAAAUGCGUAGAUAUCGGGAGGAACACCAGUGGCGAAGGCGGCCUCCUAGGCUGUUUCUGACGCUGAGGCCCGAAAGCGUGGGGAGCGAACAGGAUUAGAUACCCUGGUAGUCCACGCCGUAAACUAUGGACACUAGGUAUAGGGAGUAUCGACCCUCUCUGUGCCGAAGUUAACGCAUUAAGUGUCCCGCCUGGGGAGUACGGCCGCAAGGCUA
rnacentral:rRNA from 1 species